UUACAAAGUCAAAAGCUGAUGCCAGAAGAAACAAAACUUCUAUAUUCUAGGUUCGGGGACCAGAACAAGUUGUCUGGGGCCAGUUAGGCUUUCAAGAGAGUUUGACUAUACGGUCAUAGAGGAGGGAGCCAAGGAGAGAAGAGCAGACAUUCAGCAUCCUGCCGUAUCUGUGAUUAAAAAGACCUGAUCAGACAGUAAGUCAUGCCAAGUUGUGACCCAGAAAGCCAAACGGGGAACAUCAGGGCCCUUUGCCGUGGGAAGAAUUUAUGUCAGACCAAAGGAGAACAGAGGAGUUAUAUUUGUGAUAACUCCCAAAGGGAUGGCACCGGCAGCUGAUGUAACCCACCAGCCCACCCAAGAAUGUCUGCUCAGGGGCUCAGCUUCUGCCCACAAUCCCAGGUCCUGGCUGACAGACAGGUCAUCACCUCUUGCCUAGGAUCUAUGCAACCCCCUUCUCCGGUGUGACACUUCCCCGGCAUCGAACCCGCCCUGGAGUUGCUCCUAAUAAACGUGCUUCUAAACCCUAUCA
rnacentral:lncRNA from 1 species